UUAAAUUGAAGAGUUUGAUCAUGGCUCAGAUUGAACGCUGGCGGCAGGCCUAACACAUGCAAGUCGAACGGUAACAGGAAACAGCUUGCUGUUUCGCUGACGAGUGGCGGACGGGUGAGUAAUGUCUGGGAAACUGCCUGAUGGAGGGGGAUAACUACUGGAAACGGUAGCUAAUACCGCAUAACGUCGCAAGACCAAAGAGGGGGACCCUCGGGCCUCUUGCCAUCGGAUGUGCCCAGAUGGGAUUAGCUAGUAGGUGGGGUAACGGCUCACCAAGGCGACGAUCCCUAGCUGGUCUGAGAGGAUGACCAGCCACACUGGAACUGAGACACGGUCCAGACUCCUACGGGAGGCAGCAGUGGGGAAUAUUGCACAAUGGGCGCAAGCCUGAUGCAGCCAUGC
rnacentral:rRNA from 1 species